ACCGUAAGUGAAGCAAGAUGAACCUCGCCAGCAAAAUAAACUAAUAAGCCAUCAUGAUUUAGGCACAUCAAUAUUCAGGAUUCGCUCUUCCAAACGAGGACGGAGUUCGCACUGGCCUGGGCGCACGUUCCGCUAGGCAGAGCAACAAAAGCUUCAAGUCCGGUAUCAGCGACGCGAGAUCUUCUUCUGCAAACCAACGAGCCCCGUCACAGAGGCUUUGUUGCACAUCCCACAAAUCACGGUUGAGGGAUCCACCGUCGGCCACGAGACUCGAUCCGUUGUGCCGAUCGCGCGUCGAGAUUAGGCCAAAGCUGGUAGAGCGAACCAAAGGGAACACCAGAAGGGCAUCGCGGGGAUACGCAACACGGCAGACAGAACGAACAGUUGUCGGCAAGGCCGAGGUCGAUUGGCAAUCGAAAUUGCGUUCUCAGGGCACCAUGGAAACGGUGGCCGAACGCAACACGAGGACGAGCAGCCAGGCAUGAGAUUGCGUGGUCGAGGUUGAACGUUGAACCCCACGGUCGGUGAGCGAUCCC